GACGAACGCUGGCGGCGUGCUUAACACAUGCAUGUCGAACGGAAAGGCCCUGCUUUUGUGGGGUGCUCGAGUGGCGAACGGGUGUGUAACACGUGAGUAACCUGCCCUUGACUUUGGGAUAACUUCAGGAAACUGGGGCUAAUACCGGAUAGGAGCUCCUGCUGCAUGGUGGGGGUUGGAAAGUUUCGGCGGUUGGGGAUGGACUCGCGGCUUAUCAGCUUGUUGGUGGGGUAGUGGCUUACCAAGGCUUUGACGGGUAGCCGGCCUGAGAGGGUGACCGGCCACAUUGGGACUGAGAUACGGCCCAGACUCCUACGGGAGGCAGCAGUGGGGAAUAUUGCACAAUGGGCGGAAGCCUGAUGCAGCAACGCCGCGUGCGGGAUGACGGCCUUCGGGUUGUAAACCGCUUUCGCCUGUGACGAAGCGUGAGUGACGGUAAUGGGUAAAGAAGCACCGGCUAACUACGUGCCAGCAGCCGCGGUGAUACGUAGGGUGCGAGCGUUGUCCGGAUUUAUUGGGCGUAAAGGGCUCGUAGGUGGUUGAUCGCGUCGGAAGUGUAAUCUUGGGGCUUAACCCUGAGCGUGCUUUCGAUACGGGUUGACUUGAGGAAGGUAGGGGAGAAUGGAAUUCCUGGUGGAGCGGUGGAAUGCGCAGAUAUCAGGAGGAACACCAGUGGCGAAGGCGGUUCUCUGGGCCUUUCCUGACGCUGAGGAGCGAAAGCGUGGGGAGCGAACAGGCUUAGAUACCCUGGUAGUCCACGCUGUAAACGGUGGGUACUAGGUGUGGGGUCCAUUCCACGGGUUCCGUGCCGUAGCUAACGCUUUAAGUACCCCGCCUGGGGAGUACGGCCGCAAGGCUAAAACUCAAAGGAAUUGACGGGGCCCCGCACAAGCGGCGGAGCAUGCGGAUUAAUUCGAUGCAACGCGUAGAACCUUACCUGGGUUUGACAUGGAUCGGGAGUGCUCAGAGAUGGGUGUGCCUCUUUUGGGGUCGGUUCACAGGUGGUGCAUGCCUGUCGUCAGCUCGUGUCGUGAGAUGUUGGGUUAAGUCCCGCAACGAGCGCAACCCUUGUUCACUGUUGCCAGCACGUUAUGGUGGGGACUCAGUGGAGACCGCCGGGGUCAACUCGGAGGAAGGUGGGGAUGACGUCAAGUCCUCAUGCCCCUUAUGUCCAGGGCUUCACGCAUGCUACAAUGGCUGGUACAGAGAGUGGCGAGCCUGUGAGGGUGAGCGAAUCUCGGAAAGCCGGUCUCAGUUCGGAUUGGGGUCUGCAACUCGACCUCAUGAAGUCGGAGUCGCUAGUAAUCGCAGAUCAGCAACGCUGCGGUGAAUACGUUCCCGGG
rnacentral:rRNA from 1 species